rnacentral:lncRNA from 1 species
AAUGAACAUCACAUUAGAACAGUUUAUUGGAAUCAAAUUAAAAGCUAAACUUCUUCGCCAUCAUCAUCGAUCAUCGAUCCUAUAACUCAGAAAUCCUUCAACACCUUGCGAACCUGCUCCAGGGUAACAAACAGAACAACAGUGAAAGGUCCCUGCCUUGAAAUUGUAGGAAUAAAUCCUUUGUAAAGAGCCAUAGGACCCUCAGCACGAAUCGUUUUCAUAGCACAAUCCAAUGCACCAGCAUAAGGUGGUUCCUUACCAGCCUCCACCUUCAUAUUCAUAACCCUAGUUUUAAUAACAUCCACCGGAUUCGAUGCAACAGCCGCCACAAACCCAGCCGCAAAA